rnacentral:sRNA from 1 species
UUAUGGAGUAAAUGAGGCUUGUAAAGAAAACAGGAUAGUAUUUAGGAACCGACUCUGCCCUGGUAAAAUUCUCCAAUAUCAUUGUCAUUCCCCAAAAGUAGAUUUAGGAGUGCUAUACCUAGACUUCAACGCUAUUAGAAUCAUUAGAUGAAGGAUUCAAUAUAACA